rnacentral:rRNA from 1 species
UACGUAGGGUGCGAGCGUUGUCCGGAAUUAUUGGGCGUAAAGGGCUCGUAGGCGGUCUGUCACGUCGGGAGUGAAAACUCAGGGCUUAACCCUGAGCCUGCUUCCGAUACGGGCAGACUAGAGGUAUGCAGGGAGAACGGAAUUCCACGUGUAGCAGUGAAAUGCGUAGAGAUGUGGAGGAACACCGAUGGCGAAGGCGGCAUCCUGGACCGACACUGACACUGAGGAGCGAAAGCCAGGGAGCAAACGGG